AACGCUAGCUACAGGCUUAACACAUGCAAGUCGAGGGGCAGCAUGAUUUGUAGCAAUACAGAUUGAUGGCGACCGGCGCACGGGUGAGUAACGCGUAUGCAACUUACCUAUCAGAGGGGGAUAGCCCGGCGAAAGUCGGAUUAAUACCCCAUAAAACAGGGGUCCCGCAUGGGAAUAUUUGUUAAAGAUUCAUCGCUGAUAGAUAGGCAUGCGUUCCAUUAGGCAGUUGGCGGGGUAACGGCCCACCAAACCGACGAUGGAUAGGGGUUCUGAGAGGAAGGUCCCCCACAUUGGUACUGAGACACGGACCAAACUCCUACGGGAGGCAGCAGUGAGGAAUAUUGGUCAAUGGCCGAGAGGCUGAACCAGCCAAGUCGCGUGAAGGAAGAAGGAUCUAUGGUUUGUAAACUUCUUUUAUAGGGGAAUAAAGUGGAGGACGUGUCCUUUUUUGUAUGUACCCUAUGAAUAAGCAUCGGCUAACUCCGUGCCAGCAGCCGCGGUGAUACGGAGGAUGCGAGCGUUAUCCGGAUUUAUUGGGUUUAAAGGGUGCGUAGGUGGUGAUUUAAGUCAGCGGUGAAAGUUUGUGGCUCAACCAUAAAAUUGCCGUUGAAACUGGGUUACUUGAGUGUGUUUGAGGUAGGCGGAAUGCGUGGUGUAGCGGUGAAAUGCAUAGAUAUCACGAAGAACUCCGAUUG
rnacentral:rRNA from 1 species